AUGAACGCUGGCGGCGUGCCUAAUACAUGCAAGUCGAGCGAACAGACGAGGAGCUUGCUCCUCUGACGUUAGCGGCGGACGGGUGAGUAACACGUGGAUAACCUACCUAUAAGACUGGGAUAACUUCGGGAAACCGGAGCUAAUACCGGAUAAUAUAUUGAACCGCAUGGUUCAAUAGUGAAAGACGGUUUUGCUGUCACUUAUAGAUGGAUCCGCGCCGCAUUAGCUAGUUGGUAAGGUAACGGCUUGCCAAGGCGACGAUGCGUAGCCGACCUGAGAGGGUGAUCGGCCACACUGGAACUGAGACACGGUCCAGACUCCUACGGGAGGCAGCAGUAGGGAAUCUUCCGCAAUGGGCGAAAGCCUGACGGAGCAACGCCGCGUGAGUGAUGAAGGUCUUCGGAUCGUAAAACUCUGUUAUUAGGGAAGAACAAAUGUGUAAGUAACUAUGCACGUCUUGACGGUACCUAAUCAGAAAGCCACGGCUAACUACGUG
rnacentral:rRNA from 1 species